UUAAAGUCUAACCUGCCCACUGAAUUUUUUAAAUGGCCGCAGUAUUCUAACUGUGCAAAGGUAGCAUAAUCAUUAGUCUUUUAAUUGAAGGCUGGAAUGAAUGGUUGGACGAAAUAUUAACUGUUUCAUUUAAAUUUUUUAUAGAAUUUUAUUUUUUAGUCAAAAAGCUAAAAUAUAUUUAAAAGACGAGAAGACCCUAUAAAUCUUUAUAUUUUAUUUAUUUUAAUUAAAAAGAUUAAUUUUAUUAUAAUAAAAAAAAAUAUUUUAUUGGGGUGAUAUUAAAAUUUAAUAAACUUUUAAUUUUUAAAAACAUUAAUUUAUGAAUAAUUGAUCCAUUAAUAAUGAUUAAAAAAUUAAGUUACUUUAGGGAUAACAGCGUAAUUUUUUUGGAGAGUUCAUAUCGAUAAAAAAGAUUGCGACCUCGAUGUUGGAUUAAGAUAUAAUUUUGGGUGUAGCCGUUCAAAUUUUAAGUCUGUUCGACUUUUAAAUUCUUACAUGAUCUGAGUUCAAACCGGCGUAAGCCAGGUUGGUUUCUAUCUUUAAUAAAUUAUAAUAUUUUAGUACGAAAGGACCAAAUAUUAAAAUAAUUUUAUUUUUAGUUAAGAAUAUAAUUAAUAUAA
rnacentral:rRNA from 1 species